rnacentral:lncRNA from 1 species
AAAACGUCGUUAACCUGAGUCUUUAUCAUCUAAAGAUUUAAAAUGACAAUGGCAUGCAUGCGUGCACAUGGACACAGAAGCAACCACACAAUAAAAUUAUUUGCUAUGAUUUUGUCUUUGUUGAUAGUUAUGAUGAAAUAUGAUUUCAGAUUUAGCACAUUAUAGCUUUAUUUUAUUCCUGUGUUUCCUUGGAUUGUAAAAAAAACCAAAAUAUAAUAAAUAUGACAGAAUAUGAAAGGCUAUCAAGUUCUUACAUAUUAUGUGAUUAAUAAAUAUUGACGCAACAUGAAUAACAUAAAUGCAAUACAAAACAUGGACAAUCCACAACAAAUUGAGCGUGGAUGACAAUCUUAGCUAAUGAAUUAAAUGAUAAAUAAAAUCAAAACUCAUACAAUUUCAAGUAUCCAAAUUUCAAAAAUUUAUUCAUUUCAAACUGCAUAUUGAAAAAACUCAGCUGAAAUUGUAACUGUUAUAAUGAUGAUAUUAGUUCGAAUAUAUAUACAUGAAGUGUUGGCAGCUGCGUACAGGCCAACAUUUAAAAUACAACUACGGGAAUGAAAUUUGAAAUAAAAACUUAAAAUAUCACAGUAAAUAUACAUAAAUCGUACAAAUCAUUAGAAAAUAAAGAACACAAACUUUAUACCUCUAACAGAUGAAAAGUGGGAGACAAAAUAUAAAUUAACAAUUAUGCUUAACCUGCAAGGAAAGGUUUCUGCUUCUUCUUUUUUUAAGGAAAUGAAAAUGGUUUAGUACUAAUGACCCUCAAGGAGAAACAUUUACCUGCUUUGCUUUUACUACCGCUAUUCCAAUGUUUGCAGUUUUAGAAGCAUCUUGAACUCAAUUUCAAUUCUGCCAUUUUCUUUGCUGCAGACUUUGUGAUUAUAAAAAUGUAACCUCUUGUAGUUUACAAACAUUACAUCUGAUUGUUAUGUUUCUUUGAUAAAUACUGUACAAAAGGUGAUUGCAAUAAUAAAACAUCUGAUUGAGACUCUCCCACUUUCUACUUUCCAAACUUAUACAUCAUUGAAAAACUUUUGCAGAGUUCCUACCGUUCCUCUAGAACUUAUCUUUAGAAUAGAAAGACAAAAAAGUUUUAUGUUCUUUCCUUGAGUUCUAUACAACAUUUCCCACCCCAAAUUUUCUGUACAAAAAUAGUCCAGAGUAGUCCAGUUUCUCUUAUAAAAGUUAAUUUACAUAUGUGAUAAUGGGAGUGUGCCAUUAAUCGUCGUGCCGGGUACAGGUGCGCUCUGGUAAUGUUGGGACAUGUGGAGUCUGCUUUGAGCAGUUUGCUCCGGCACCUCAGCGCCCGGUAAGUACAUACUGAUCAUGUCCCGUAGGUCUCCUGUCUGACAUGGAGCACCCCUGGAGUGAGACGACGACGUGACUACGGGGGGACUGGAACUGGACUCUGACUUGACCACCGAACCCAUGGAGCCCAGAGUCAUUCCAGGAGUGCUCUGCUGUGAGUAGGACAUGCUAUACGUGGGUGAUCCGUUCAUGUAGGUCUGGGAGUUAGUCAUGGAGUUGUACUGAAGUGCGCUCAUGUCAUAGCGGUGCAUUUGCUGCAUCUGCGCGUUGUUGUGAGCGUUUAAACCAGGGUGCUGCCCGUAGCCAAGCUGCUCCUGCAUCAUGCCAUAACCUCCAUUUGUCCAGCCGUUCAUAUGUGCGUAACUGUCCAUCCUUUGAUUAACCCCGCCGCCCAAGCCUCCCCCUACACCCACUCCCGCGCCCAUGCCAUUGCCGCCCGGUGCAAGAAGCCCACCUGGCAGAGUGUACUUGUCCUUCUUCAUCAGCGUCUUGGUUUUCCUCCGGGGUCUGUAUUUGUAAUCCGGAUGUUCCUUCAUGUGGAGAGCCCGGAGACGCUUCGCUUCGUCAAUGAAAGGUCGCUUUUCGCUCUCAGAUAGAAGCUUCCACUCGGCCCCAAGUCUUUUGCUUAUUUCCGAAUUGUGCAUUUUUGGGGUUUUCCUGUGCCAUCUUUCUUCGUUGUCCCCUCGACCAAACCAUGAAGGCAUUCAUGGGUCUUUUGACUCGGUCCGGACUGUUUUUCUGGUUGUUUCCAGAUGAAUUUGAAUUCCCAGUACCCCCAGAAUUUGUCUGGGGUGCGGGGGGUUUCAGUUCAGUUUCCAUCAUGUUAUACAUUAUUAACAGAUUUUUAUUAAAUUUGCCCGACCAAUUGAAAAAGUCCAACUCAAAAGGUAGUUAGCUGGAGUUACCUUGUCGUUUUCAGUAACUUUGUAGAAAUAGUAAACGUCUUUUUGCUUUGAGCCAGUAGGUCCUGUUGUGUCCACAAACUUCUCUCUUGGUCUCAAAGAAUCAACAAACUACUUUUCCCUCUUCGCCAGAGCCUUGACAACUCCUGAUACUUUUUGAACAAGUUAAUAGACAACCAUUCAUGUGAUGAGGGCUGUCAGGGAAUAAAUGCCUUUUUACCUGACCAAUCACAGAGCGACUGUUCCCUCGGCCAGGAUUGUGUCUUUUAUUUAGCAUAAAGGGGCGGGGUUACUUGCGGUCAGUGGUGGAGCACUGAGGCAGAAUCUGCUGUUAUCAACCAAUAGGCCUAAGCUAUAUAUUUAUUAUUGCAAGUGCUUUAAGUGGAAACAUUUCACUAGGAUGGCAAACUUUAAGUGCUUCCUACUGAAAAUCGAAGGAUUACAAGAUCCAGAAAUUAUACAGUAGGAUACAUUUAAUUAUGUUGUUAGGUAAACAGCAUAUUGGACCAAUUCAGCUGUUUCAAUUUAUAUAGGCUAUUAUUUUUAGCCAACAUUCAAAAGUUGCUGAGAAUAAUAAAUAACAUUUU